GCAGGCCUUUCUUCUGAGUAGUUCACAAUUUUAGGGGGUUUGUUUGAAUUGUGAUUACUGUUAUCAAUAUUGAUUCGAUUAAGUAUCCUAUACGUAGUUAGUGCGUUUCUUACUGCUGGUGUAUUUGUUUUCCGAGUAACAAUGCAAGUCAGUGCAGCCUGGGUGAUCAGUACAACCUAAAUUGUGAAUGUUAAAUGUCCUUUAAACAGCAUUACACCAAGUGAAGAGUUAAUUUAAGUUAAUGAAGAGUGGUUGAGUUAAAUCUUCAGUUGCUUACAAGGUUUUGAGUAAUGUUAGAAACGUAAUGAUCAUAAACGUAAAGUCAACUCUAUACGUGCUUCCAUGGACAGCAGAGAUUCUGAGGACUAGGUGUUCUUUCCCUGAAAUAGGAACAGCUGAAUUAAAUUCCUUGUCGAUACUAGAAAAGGAGCACCAUGGUAGAGGCCCAGUCUGACUGCCAGAGACAGUUCCAGGCAGCUGUGUCUGUCAUCCAGUCCCUGCCAAAAAAUGGUUCUUACCGCCCAUCCCAUGAGAAGAUGCUGAAGUUUUACAGUUACUACAAACAAGCAACUGUAGGCCCCUGUUGCAUCAGCAGGCCUGGAUUCUGGGAUCCCAUUGGUCGCUUAAAAUGGGAUGCAUGGAAAGCUCUGGGGAACAUGUCAAAAAAAGAGGCCAUGGGAAAUUACGUCGAAGAGAUAAAAAAAGCAGCCAGAGAGGUCAUGGAUAAAAUGUCAGGGACUGAAAAUGCAGAGCAGCAUUUCCACCUGUUCGAACCGCUCUACGAAGUUGUUGAGGACAUGCCUCGGCCGCCAGGCUUUCCCCUGAAGAAGGCACCAGGAAAGACAGUCCGAUUUCAAGAGGAUGUUGGGCAAGAUGGUGUCAGUAGUCAUGAGACACGUCAAAUGAAUAACAUUCAUUCAGAAGAUGAAGUUUGUGAUCGAGAGGUUGAGAUUUUACAGCAAGAAAUUGACAAAGAACCGCUACCUCUGGAGAGCUCCACUAUUCUUCAAAGAGUUACAGGCAGUGACUUUAAUUGCACAGCAGACGUAGUUGAUGCCAAUCAGUUCACGAGUGACUCAGAGAGCGAGGUCUUCUGCGAUUCAGUGGAAGAACUGGACCAUGAGAAGAUUUCAGAGAAAUACAGUAAUGGAGUGAUUGCCAAAUGUUCUCAAGAUUCUUCCCACUCACAAGACAUUGUGCAUACUCCACUGGUCCACAGCGCCUCACUGGACACUUAUAGACCAGCUGGGUACCAGCUUGCAGCUGAAGAAUUGCAUCAUUACCAGUCGACAUGUACCAGUAGCACUGAGGAGCAUGCAUUAGUUAUGGGAACUCAGGAGAAGAAAAAGACAGCAUUUGUGGACCUCUCCUUGGGACCUGAUGACGAGCUGAUCAAGGAAAAUGGCUUGCAGCAAGUUGAAGGCAGGUGCUCACAGAGGCUAAGAAAUGGCCUUGUCAACAAUAUAGAGGUCAACAAAAGGAGGAUGCAUGGAGAAAAGGGCAGAAUCAACCUCAAUGACAGGAUUGGAACGAUACUUCUACACCUACAGGAAGAUAUGCAGAAUGUCUUACAGCGACUUGGACAGUUGGAGGAACUGACAACAUCUCAGAUGGAAACAGCUGAGGUACAGCCUUCAUGCUUGAAAAUGACUAGGCUUAAGAGAGCCUCCAGGUGGUUGUUCAAUCCAUCCAGACGGACCUUGAUCUUUUUAGUUUUAUGGCCCUUUGUUGCUCAGUGGAUAGUCCAUGUACUUCGCAAGAGAAGGAGCUGAGGAAUUGUGGGACCAUUUUCAUUGAUCACUAGAGAGAAUGAGUUUGCAAAAAAGCACUCAACAGCCUUGAAGGAAAUAAGUAAACCUCUUAAAGGACGACACUAAGACUUCACCUUUUUUGUAUGGUAGCACAGUCAAACCUGACGUCGUCUGCAGAGCCGCACUUUCCUGCCUGAAGACAGCAAAGGAAUGAAACAGACACUGCACUCUGAAGCCUGUAGAGAGGAUAUUUGCAAGGCUGUAGCCUACGCUGGCAAACGUUGCUCUCUCGUGGUGAAAUUGCGGUAUUCUCAACCCAACGGUGUCAGGAGCCGUCAUUCCCAUUUUCUCCUGUGAAUCGACAAGCCUUUUCUCCAACGACUUCUCCGGCCACCUGCUGCCCCAGCGAUCGUGCUUCCUCCUCUCUUCUUCCCGGACACGCGGCGCUUCUUACUUGGAACUCUCGGCCAUGUUGGCUGCAUGUUUUCACUGUUAACUGCACCAGUCCAAUGAAAUAACGGCCACGCAUCAUACAGAUGUCCUUGAAGAUUUAUUUUUAUCUCUCUCUCUCUUGCUUCAGCAGACACCAUGAAAACUACAAGAAAAUAGAAGACACAAAAGGUUUAAAACAUACAUCUCUCAGUCUUUUAAAGUUUCUCAAGCUAGUGUCUGCCGAUAAACAGGCCCCAAAACACAUCAGCACAACAGAAGUGUGCUAAAAUCAAAUAAAAUCACUGAAAACGUAUCACACUGUCCAUGUAAAGGCACAUCAGCAAGAUUAUACACAAUAUAAAACAAAUAAAAAUAAUUACCGUGUGUGCCUCUUGGAUCACAUGCAAAAUAGGGUUAUUUUAGGGCCAUGUGUCUUUCUCUGCUACCAUGUUGGUUCUGACCCAUAAUGCCACAGUCAUGCUUUUAUUAAACUCUGGUCAUGUGGCCCAUUACACUCUACAUUAAAUAAAACCUUGCAUAAAAAGCACAAAAUUUUUAAUCAAACAUUAUUUUAAGAUUUAAAAAAUCAUGAAUUUAUGAUUAAAACAUACAAAAUAAACAUCUCAAUGAAACAUGUCUCUGAGACAGUUACAAGAAGGUCCAAGUCAUUACCUAUGCUGUUUCCCCAAUUCGUGCAGCUAAGCUGAAGGCAUAUGUAUGCUUGCUGAAUUAUUAUAAUAAAUUCUUGUCAUAUCUAGCAAUUGCUACAAAAGGAUGUGAAGUGGAAAUAGACUGAAGCUCAAGAAAGAUCAUCUGUGCAUUCCAAGGUGCAGGGUCUGCUGAUGUGCCAGUUUGCUACUCAAAAGCCAGAGAGUUUGGUCAUCAUAGUGUUGGUGCUGUGUUGUCUCAUCAUAUGUAUUAUAGUUCUGAAGAACUGAGAGGUUUUUAUGUUAUCAAUAUUUUCAGCAGCAGAGAAAAAGUACUCACAGCUAGAUGAAGAAGGUUUAGUCAUCUUGGCUGGAUUGCAGUAGUACCAUAUUAUCAUGUACAGAAACCCCUGAUUUCCCUGUUCCAUGAAGUAAACCCAGUGCAUCAAGUUGUUUCCCCAUGAAUUGAAAAAUGGCUUUAACCAUGAGAACUUGUGAAUAUACAAUUGCUUUCAAAAUAAUGAACUACCAGGUGCAACAUGCUGUAAGGUUUCACUGUU